UAGUUGAGUAGUUAAAAUGAG
ensembl:piRNA 21ur-3736 ncRNA